UGCAAAUUGCUAGUGGGUUUUCAGUAGGAU
rnacentral:piRNA from 1 species